GUGUCAGCCGCCGCGGUAAUACAGAGGUCCCAAGCGUUGUUCGGAUUCACUGGGCGUAAAGGGUGCGUAGGUGGUCAAGAAAGUUUGAUGUGAAAUCUCCGGGCUUAACCCGGAAACUGCAUUGAAAACUGCUUGGCUUGAGGAUUGGAGGGGGGACUGGAAUUCUCGGUGUAGCAGUGAAAUGCGUAGAUAUCGAGAGGAACACCAGUGGCGAAGGCGAGUCCCUGGACAAUACCUGACACUGAGGCACGAAAGCUAGGGGAGCAAACAGGAUUAGAAACCCUGGUAGUCC
rnacentral:rRNA from 1 species